UGCGUGUUGCUGCUGUGCGUGCUUGUCUCUGCCGAGAGCGGUCCCUGCUCUUUCCCGGCUCCGCUCAGGGAGCCCUUUAGAGCCGUCGGGUUGCGAGUUGCGGUGGAAACUUUGGUGUGGUGGUGGCGGAGCAGUUUUGGCAGCGUUGGAAUGGGAAUUUUUCUGUUGUCUUAGGUCAGCCUUCCCCGCCUCAGACCUGGUGAAGUCGGCAGAAACAGCGAAUUUUCAGCAACAGGAAGGGUUAGAGGAGAUGCCACAGAAGCAGCCUCACCUUCAGCCCUGACCUGCUGCACCACUUCAGGUUUUUCCUAGGCACAGGUAAACAAGCACAUACAAGACAAAGAAGUUUAGGUUGCUUGUCUGGAGGUAUACAUUCUUAUAUGACUGUGUAUUGUUAUUUACGAAUGUAUGUUAUUUAUGCUUAAUGUUAUUUAAACUCUUAAUUUUUUUGUGUGAAACCUCCUGAUUCUCUUUGAUGUUGUCAAAUGUUUCUUUUCUUGUAGAGCUGAUACUGUCUACUCAGGCAGAGGACUGUGUAAAGGACAGUCAAAAAGUAAGAAGGUGACAGCCAUGCUUUAAUCUUAUACAAACACUGUAAUUAUAUUGAAGGGGUUUUUUUUAAGUUUUCAACACAUUUGUUGUAAGUCUAAAGUCCUACUUCUUUUUUUCACACAAUUGAAAAACUGGGCGUUUCCAGGCGCAAUUAGCGCAGUUAAACCCUCUGUCAUUUUCCCCCCGUUUCCUCCUCCUUCCCCCGGGUUCCGUGUGCUGUGUGCCGGGCAGGGCAGGGCCAUGGAGGCAGCGGACGUGCCGCCCGAGG